GACGAACGCUGGCGGCGUGCUUAACACAUGCAAGUCGAACGGUGAAGCCCUUCGGGGUGGCUCAGUGGCGAACGGGUGAGUAACACGUGCGCAACCUGCCCCUGGCUCUGGGACAACCACUGGAAACGGUGGCUAAUACCGGAUCCGACCCGCCUCGGCAUCGAGUUUGGGUGGAAAGUUUUUCGGCUGGGGUUGGGCUCGCGGCCUCUCAGCUUGUUGGUGGGGUGGAGGCUGACCAAGGCGACGACGGGUAGCCGGCCUGAGAGGGGGACCGGCCGCGGGGGGGAGGGAGAGCGGCAGAGACUAGAAGGGGAGGCAGAAGAGGGGAGUAGGGAACAGGGGGAGGGGGGAUAGUGCGGAGAGGACGCGGGGGGGAUGAGGGGAAGGGGGUUGGAAGCGGAGUUGGGGUGAGAGGAAGCGAGAGUGACGGUAGGGGGAGAAGAAGCACCGGCUAACUACGUG
rnacentral:rRNA from 1 species